AAACGCGCUCUUCGAAUGACGCAAGCUCGACAGCAACCGACGACCGAAGCUCACUUUGAGCAGUCUGAUUGGUUGGAAAUUCCAAGUUUGGAAAAUCGAGCCAAUUCAGUACAUAACAGUAACAUAUUAGGAACCAACAGGAAAUUAACAAAACUGCCGAGUUUUCAUCAGACUACUCAAAAAUUAAAUAAAAAGGUCAAAUAGAAAA